AUCCAUCUGCCGCUGCAUCUGGCUGUAUUUUUCGCCGCAACUGCUUCGGUAAUUUAUAAAUUAUCCUUGGAGAAAUUCAGGGGUGCCGCUUCAGAGACUUCUAAAAGCUUUUGCGUUGCAGAACCGCGCUAGGGUUCCCUUUUGAUUUGUCUUACGAGGCUUCGGAGUAAGGUUGGAUGGAUGGCGUUGUUGUGAGGAGGGUAAUACCUUCGGAUAAUAGCUGCCUCUUCAAUGCUGUGGGUUAUGUUAUGAAUCAUGAUCGGCAUAGAGCUCCGGAGUUGAGACAGGUUUUGUUUUAUCUUUUUAUUUGCAACAGUUGUUUAUCGCUUGUCUUA